AGCAGCCGCGGUAAUUCCAGCUCCAAUAGCGUAUAUUAAAGUUGUUGCAGUUAAAAAGCUCGUAGUUGAAUUUCGGGGUCAGUGGAUUGGUCAUGCCUCCGGUAUGCACUGGUCUUACUGGCUUCUCCUUCCUGAUGAACCGUAAUGCCAUUAAUUUGGUGUUGCGGGGAGACUGGACUGUUACUUUGAAAAAUUAGAGUGUUUAAAGCAGGCUAACGCUUGAAUACAUUAGCAUGGAAUAAUGAAAUAGGACGUUCGAUUCUUAAUUUGUUGGUUUCUAAGAUUGACGUAAUGAUUAAUAGGGAUAGUUGGGGCAUUAGUAUUCAAUUGUCAGAGGUGAAAUUCUUGGAUUUAUUGAAGUACUAACGUACUGACGAAAG
rnacentral:rRNA from 1 species